UAGAAAUACCGCACUGGUGGGGUAUGGAUCCGAAGCCUCUAGAACGAUAACAAAGGCUCUCCACACUCUACUCCUACUCAAUACGUCCCCGGCGUACAGAGCGGUAACAUGUCUCUUCAAAUAUCUGAGCUUGGGUAUACGGGGAAACCCAACCCCUUGGGAGGAUGGGUGAUAUGGCUAAAUUGAGAGGA
rfam:Anopheles minimus strain MINIMTS1 unplaced genomic scaffold supercont1.20, whole genome shotgun sequence.